rnacentral:lncRNA from 1 species
GUAGAACAAAAAUAAGGAUAUUUAACUAUGAUAUGCAAUGAAUGUAAAUCUUCCUUUUUUUUUUAAAUCGAAAAGUUAAAAUAGGAAAGUGCAAUCUUUCUUUUUUUUUAAUUUUUUUUUUAAAUAUGGAAAAACUUGAAGUGCAAGCCAAGAAAAUUAAAUGCAAUUAAAUGGAAAAUCCGAUCAAAAAGGAAAGUGAAAAUCGAUGGAUGCCAAAAAACAUAUUACUUGAAUGAAAGAUGCACAAAAACGGAUCAAAAGAUAUGCAGGAAAAAAGAAAACAAGUUGAACUCGCCAAGAACAGCAAGAACAAGUGCAAAAAUUUUUAUUUUUUUUUGAAAGACAAGAUGAUGAACCAAACAAAUAACAAAAGUAGCAAGGAUAGGAUACAACCGAAGGUGUAGGAGCUUUGAGCUCU